rnacentral:rRNA from 1 species
GACGAACGCUGGCGGCGUGCUUAACACAUGCAAGUCGAACGAUGAAGCCUAGCUUGCUAGGUGGAUUAGUGGCGAACGGGUGAGUAAUACGUGAGUAACCUACCUUUAACUCUGGGAUAAGCCUGGGAAACUGGGUCUAAUACCGGAUACGACCAAUCUCCGCAUGGGGUGUUGGUGGAAAGCGUUAUGUAGUGGUUAUAGAUGGGCUCACGGCCUAUCAGCUUGUCGGUGAGGUAACGGCUCACCAAGGCGACGACGGGUAGCCGGCCUGAGAGGGUGACCGGCCACACUGGGACUGAGACACGGCCCAGACUCCUACGGGAGGCAGCAGUGGGGAAUAUUGCACAAUGGGCGCAAGCCUGAAGCAGCGACGCCGCGUGAGGGAUGACGGCCUUCGGGUUGUAAACCUCUGUUAGCAGGGAAGAAGAGAAAUUGACGGUACCUGCAGAGAAAGCGCCGGCUAACUACGUG